GUUGUAGUAGCUCAAGAUAGGAGAGCGUCAGACUCAAAAUCUAAAGGUUCCUGGUUCAGUCUCGGGUUUUGGCU